rnacentral:rRNA from 1 species
AUUGAACGCUGGCGGCAUGCCUUACACAUGCCAGUCGAACGGCAGCACGGGUGCUUGCACCUGGUGGCGAGUGGCGAACGGGUGAGUAAUACAUCGGAACAUGUCCUGUAGUGGGGGAUAGCCCGGCGAAAGCCGGAUUAAUACCGCAUACGAUCUACGGAUGAAAGCGGGGGACCUUCGGGCCUCGCGCUAUAGGGUUGGCCGAUGGCUGAUUAGCUAGUUGGUGGGGUAAAGGCCUACCAAGGCGACGAUCAGUAGCUGGUCUGAGAGGACGACCAGCCACACUGGGACUGAGACACGGCCCAGACUCCUACGGGAGGCAGCAGUGGGGAAUUUUGGACAAUGGGCGAAAGCCUGAUCCAGCAAUGCCGCGUGUGUGAAGAAGGCCUUCGGGUUGUAAAGCACUUUUGUCCGGAAAGAAAUCCUUGGCUCUAAUACAGUCGGGGGAUGACGGUACCGGAAGAAUAAGCACCGGCUAACUACGU